AUCCCCGGAUGUGUUCUUGAUCCGCCCCGUUUACCGAGGAUGCAUCGAGAGGUGACUUGUGCGGACUUGAUACGGGCCAUAACCCAGAAUUCAUUUCGCGCAAUGGCGGAAGAGAAAACUCACAACUGUAAGUACUACAUUUCGAUAUAUCUACUUAUUGUUAUAUCAAGAGUUUCAAUGCCAGAAUGUUGUUUAAACUUAAAAGCUACCGUCGAAUUUUAAGGUUAGCAACUAACGUUAUUUGAAAAUAUGCUCAGAAGAUUUCUUAGUUGAAAAAUCCAGACGAUCCUUCGCUGGUGUAAAUAGAGUUAGGUUAACCCUCGGCAAGUCCUCCUAAAAAUAUAACUUAACGUUAUAAAAUAUGCCUGUCUUGUUCCUGUAAGUUAGUGGAUAAACAUUUGAUCUAACGUUACCGUACUUUAGCCUAAUGUUACUUACUUCAAAGGCAAACCUCUAGAUUACUUUUCUCGGUUUGACCAAAUAGUUUGUCUUUUAAUUUUUUAACCAAAUUAUUUUAGAAUUGUAUUAUUUUUCAGUGAAACUUAAAUUAAGGAUUUUUUUUUUCUGAGGAAACUCGGGCCUUGAUUGAGUGGCGGGCGGCCAACAAAAAUCUGUUCACUGUGAGACGCAAUUCCUCCAAAAGUGGAUGGGAGCAUUUCGUUUCCAUUUCUGGUUUGGCCAUAACUGCCAAACAGGCCAAGAAGAAAUGGAACAAUUUGAAAGAUAAAUAUAAGGAGCUUAGGGACCCACCGACAGGAUAAGGGGUAGAGGCCGGUAGUGUGACUGCUGCCACCUGGCAGUGGUACACUGCAAUGGAUGCUGCACUCCAGGGGCAGCACUCUAUUAGUCUGCCCCUGGUUGUUGCAU